CGAGUGAGUAAGUUGGGCAUUCGACGGCAGACUCUUUUAGCAGUUGGCAGUGAAGAAAGCCCAAGGGGAGGCACACAAGAUCUACAUAUAAGUCGACCCCUGAUAUUCACGGACUCCAGAUCAGAGGUCUCACAUAUUCGCAGAUUUCUCUACAGACCUUAUAGUUCAAGAGUGUCCUAAGGAUAUUCCAAGAUGAGCAUACCUGUCCCUGCAAAAGUUUCAUCGAUGUUACCAUUUCCUGACACCGCCUAUCAGCCUCCUGGACCUGACGCCGAAGGUGGUCUUUCUC